UGAGUGGCGGACGGGUGAGUAACGCGUGGGCAACCUGGCCUGUACAGGGGGAUAACACUUAGAAAUAGGUGCUAAUGCCGCAUAACGGGGGAAGCCGCAUGGCUUUUCCCUGAAAACUCCGGUGGUACAGGAUGGGCCCGCGUCUGAUUAGCCAGUUGGCAGGGUAACGGCCUACCAAAGCGACGAUCAGUAGCCGGCCUGAGAGGGCGGACGGCCACACUGGGACUGAGACACGGCCCAGACUCCUACGGGAGGCAGCAG
rnacentral:rRNA from 1 species